UUAUGCUAAGGAAACGUCUUUAUACCACCCUUGAGAUUAUGAACACCAAUGCAAAGGAUGUCAUGUGUAAACACAAAACUGUUUGAUGACUUAAAAGAGUGGGGAAUGUUAAAACUCCUCCUCCUCCUCCACUUCUCCUCUCCUCAGAGUCUUUAUAAGCUUCACUCUCUCUUCUCCUCACACUCCAACCCUGCUCACCUCUCAGCUGAACAGUGAGGGACGUUUACAUCACACACUGACAACAUGCUGGGGACCUCUGCACUCUCAUCACUGCUCUGACAUAUGUUGAUGCAGUCAAAGUGGUGACCCAGACGCCUUCUGUCCAUGCAGUUUCUACAGGACAAGAAGUUGUUCUCAAAUGCAACAUUGAGAGAGAUGAU